rnacentral:rRNA from 1 species
GACGAACGCUGGCGGCGUGCCUAAUACAUGCAAGUCGAACGCACUCUCGUUUAGAUUGAAGGAGUUUGCUCCUGAUUGAUAAACAUUUGAGUGAGUGGCGGACGGGUGAGUAACACGUGGGUAACCUGCCCUAAAGUGGGGGAUAACAUUUGGAAACAGAUGCUAAUACCGCAUAAAACCUAACACCGCAUGGUGUAGGGUUGAAAGAUGGUUUCGGCUAUCACUUUAGGAUGGACCCGCGGUGCAUUAGUUAGUUGGUGAGGUAAAGGCUCACCAAGACCGUGAUGCAUAGCCGACCGGAGAGGGUAAUCGGCCACACUGGGACUGAGACACGGCCCAGACUCCUACGGGAGGCAGCAGUAGGGAAUCUUCCACAAUGGACGAAAGUCUGAUGGAGCAACGCCGCGUGAGUGAAGAAGGUUUUCGGAUCGUAAAACUCUGUUGUUGGAGAAGAAUGUAUCUGAUAGUAACUGAUCAGGUAGUGACGGUAUCCAACCAGAAAGCCACGGCUAACUACGUG